rnacentral:miRNA from 10 species
AUCUCCUGGGGAUCUUGUUAAAAUUCAGGUUGCAGUUCAGAAGGUCUGGGCUGGGCCUGAGAUUCUGCAUUUCCAACAAGCUCUCAGGUGAUGGCACU